GUGGGAUGGAAUGGAAAGAUGGAAGGGACUGGAAGGUCCUGGAAUUCCAAGCUGGUCACGUGACGAAGAGACUAGGUGGUGUCUAAUGGAGUUAACCACCUCACCUAGCAACUGUGCCAGGAAUAUACUGGAUGACAAAGAAAAAUGGACUCGUGUUCAGGAAUACUUUGUAAACCCAUAAACUCGAAAGCCUACCUGAAGGAGACCUUGGAGUUAUCUAUUACUGGCAUUACUAAAGGAACAAGAAUGGAAGAAUGGACCAUUCUAUCAGGCACAGCAGGAAGCAGGGAAAAUCACAGGAAAAAACAGGUCAUCAGCAUGGAGAGUAAAUGGGAAUAAGUAAGUCUACCUCAGAAGCAAAAUUAAAGAGAAAGAGAG